rnacentral:rRNA from 1 species
ACGGAAGGCAGCAGUGGGGAAUAUUGCACAAUGGGCGCAAGCCUGGUGCAGCGAUGCCGCGUGAGGGAAGAAGGUUUUCGGAUUGUAAACCUCUGUCAUCGGGGACGGUAAUGACUGUACCCGAGAAGGAAGCUCCGGCUAACUACGUGUCAGCAGCCGCGGUAAUACGUAGGGAGCGAGCGUUAUCCGGAAUUACUGGGUGUAAAGGGAGUGUAGGCGGGACUGUAAGUCAGAUGUGAAAUAUGCCGGCUCAACUGGCAGACCGCAUUUGAAACUGCGGUUCUUGAGUGAAGUAAAGGUAAGCGGAAUUCCUAGUGUAGCGGUGAAAUGCGUAGAUAUUAGGAGGAACAUCGAUGGCGAAGGCAGCUUACUGGGCUUUAACUGACGCUGAGGCUCGAAAGCGCGGGGAGCAAACAGGAUUAGAUACCCUGGUA